AGGUAUCAUGUUAAGACUGUGAAAGUACUAUUUACUCUACAAUGGUGAGGAGUCCUCAUCAAAAUCAAAAAAUCUAAUUUAUUUUACAGGACCCAGAUGCUAUACAGUGGGAAAACCAGCCUGGCAACAUAGUGCGUAUUAAUAAAAGGACACCACAUCCUGCCAAAUUCCAGCUGCGCUAAUUGUAUUGUGUUCACAGAGCUCACAAGCUAUCAGAAAGUUGUAUGGCAACCACCUCCGGCGCCAAAUAGAACUGGCAGACAUAGACAUUCAGUACAAGAAGAAAAAGAUGGAAAAUCUUGCACUGGAGUCCGAAAUAAAAAAGAGGACAAUUAGGAAACUGGACCUUGAAAUAAAAAAACUUGAGAGGGAGCUCCAAGAAGAUGACACAGCUCAAAAUAAAAAUUAGCAAUCAGUACAACCAAGUCAUCGUUAUAAGGCAUCGCCCUCUUUAGCCCACCCCCCCAGCACCAGGUGUGGCCACUAGCCUAUAUGAAGGCCCAAAAUUGUGUGUUCCUUUCUGCUCUGACAAUGGCAUGCCCAUUCGUGCGAGAUGUGGUGGAUGAAGAAGCACUUGUGCUGAGGAGAGCCUUCAGGCGAGAAAGGGUCUUCAGGGACCGGUUGGACCCACUGGCCUUCCCUGAUGACCAUCUAUAUGAAAGAUACAGGUUUUCUGCAGAUGGCAUCAGGUAUCUAUGCAGACUACUGGGUCCCAGGAUUAAGCACCGCACUGCACGGAGCCAUGCACUGAGUGUGGAGCAAAUGGUUUGUGUGGCCUUGCGCUUUUUUGCUAGUGGAGCCUUCCUGUACUCAGUGGGGGAUGCAGAACAGCUGAACAAGGCCACAAUUUGCCGCACAAUAAGGAGUGUGUGUCUGGCUAUCAAAGCAUUAGCAGAUGUCUUCAUCUCCUUCCCUGGCCACAGAAGACUCUGUGACAUCAAAGAGGAGUUCUAUAGGAUUGCAGAUGGUCUGCAAUGCUGACUGUGUGAUCAGCAAUGUUGUGGCAAAAUGGCCUGGCUCAGUCCAUGACUCCAGAAUCUUUCGGGCCUCUGAAAUCUAUCAGUGCCUAUCACAAGGUGAAUUCUCUGGUGUGUUGCUGGGAGACAGGGGUAUGGCUGCCAGCCUUUUCUCCUGACACCUUUCACAGACCCCCAGGAAGCACAGCAGGCCUACAACCAUGCCCAUGCCAGGACCAGGGCCAGAGUUGAAAUGACCUUUGGCCUCCUGAAGGCACGCUUUCACUGCCUUCACAAAUUAAGGGUCAGCCCUGUUAGGGCAUGUGAUAUUACUGUGGCUUGUGCUGUCCUCCACAAUGUGGCCUGCCUGAGGAAGGAGAGGGCCCCCAGAGUGCCACCAGCCAUGGACUGGGACAAUCCGGCAAUCUUCACUGAUGACGACAGUGGUCGGCUGCUGAGGGACCAAUAUGUGUUGAAUUAUUUUAGUUAGUAUGUGUGCUUUCAAUUUUGGUUAAAUAUGUCCUGCGGUGGCAGAGGAAUUUGGGUUUUUUUGGGUUCGUUUUUUGACGAAUUUGGCCUCUUAUGAUGUUUGUGCGGUAUACUGUGUGUAAUACAAGGCUGCAGGGAGGCUACUGCAUCCAUUCAUUUGUCUGUUCAGUUGAUGUGUAUGGAUUUGUCCUGCAUUUAUUUUAGUGUGCAGACAUGCAGGGUGUGUUAUAUACAGACCUUUGAAUGUGUAUGUAUCAUUUUGUAUAAUAUGCUUGGAUUCUGUGCUUUCCAUCUUGUAGAGUCACUGUGACUUCAGUUUCGAAAGGAGCUGAUGGUUUACCUGCUUUGUUUUGUCCUUAUUCAAUAAAGGAACAUAAUGUUA